CUUCCCCCCUCACCUGACAGUUUGGGGUCCAUGAUGGAGCCUGGAGCAGCCUCCUCGCUCUGGGCGGGUGGGAAUAGCCUGCCCUUCCAGAAGGGUGUGCUGCCCGUGAGGCCUGGAUGCGGGAGCCCACUCGAUUUGUCACCCUAGCAGUGGAUGGAGGACCCUUCAAAGUCUAAGUCAGGGCACAGGCACCCACAGAGCUUCCCUGGAGGUGGCUUCAUCUCCCUCAGAACAUUCGUUGAGAGAACUUGGCGUCGACCUUGCUCAGGAGGAGGAAGUGCCCUCCAUCUCCAGCCCAUGUUUGAGGAAUCUCAACAGAUGGGGACGAGCUGCCUUGUUGUCUCAUCCCAUUCAGAGGGGCCCGUGGUCCCAGACCAAGCAGAGACUACCUCUCAGGCUGCUGCUGGAGAACACAGAGCUUUCUGGAGGCUGUGCCCUGCAGAUUCAUUUCGGAUUUGACAUUUAAAAGAAUGUUCCACCCACGGCUUUUCUCUGAGAGAUGAGAGUAUCUGUGAAGUUAAUAUUCAGGUAGAGAAAUGGUGUGCUUGGGGAAAAUCACCGCGUCUGAAAUGCCGUGCCCCGGGACUUGAUUCGUAGGAGAACUGCAAGAACAAAAAGGUAAAAUGCAAAAUUCUUCUCUGACAUCUUCACUGCCCAGGAGGUCCCAGCUCAGACGCGGUGGGAGUCCUUUCCC